GAUGAAGAACGUAGCGAAAUGCGAUACGUAAUGUGAAUUGCAGAAUUCAGUGAAUCAUCGAGUCUUUGAACGCACAUUGCGCCCUCUGGUAUUCCAGAGGGCAUGCCUGUCCGAGCGUCAUUGCUGCCCUCAAGCACGGCUUGUGUGUUGGGCCCCGCCCCCCGAUCCCGGGGGGCGGGCCCGAAAGGCAGCGGCGGCACCGCGUCCGGUCCUCGAGCGUAUGGGGCUUUGUCACCCGCUCUGUAGGCCCGGCCGGCGCUUGCCGAUCAACCAAACUUUUUUCCAGGUUGACCUCGGAUCAGGUAGGGAUACCCGCUGAACUUAAGCAUAUCAAUAAGCGGAGGA
rnacentral:misc_RNA from 1 species